AUGCUUAACACAUGCAAGUCGAACGGUAGCAGGCCUUCGGGCGCUGACGAGUGGCGGACGGGUGAGUAACGCGUAGGAAUCUGCCUUAUAGUGGGGGACAACGUGGGGAAACCCACGCUAAUACCGCAUACGCCCUACGGGGGAAAGGAGGGGCUCUUCGGACCUUUCGCUAUGAGAUGAGCCUGCGUUAGAUUAGCUAGUUGGUAGGGUAAAAGCCUACCAAGGCGACGAUCUAUAGCUGGUCUGAGAGGACGAUCAGCCACACUGGGACUGAGACACGGCCCAGACUCCUACGGGAGGCAGCAGUGGGGAAUAUUGGACAAUGGGCGCAAGCCUGAUCCAGCAAUACCGCGUGUGUGAAGAAGGCCCUAGGGUUGUAAAGCACUUUCAAUGGGGAGGAAAACCUGCUGGUCAAUACCCGGUAGCUUGACAUUACCUUUAGAAGAAGCACCGGCUAACUCCGUGCCAGCAGCCGCGGUAAUACGGAGGGUGCGAGCGUUAAUCGGAAUUACUGGGCGUAAAGCGUGCGUAGGCGGUUCGUUAAGUCAGAUGUGAAAGCCCUGGGCUCAACCUGGGAAUGGCAUUUGAUACUAGCGGGCUCGAGUCUGAUAGAGGGGGGUGGAAUUCCAGGUGUAGCGGUGAAAUGCGUAGAUAUCGGAAGGAACACCAGUGG
rnacentral:rRNA from 1 species